rnacentral:tRNA from 1 species
AAUUUAUUAGUUUAUUCAAAACAUUACAUUUUCAUUGUAAAAAUAAAUUCCUAAAUUUAUAAAUUA